rnacentral:rRNA from 1 species
GAUGAACGCUGGCGGUAUGCUAACACAUGCAAGUCGUACGAGAGUUUUUAACUCUAGUGGCGGACGGGUGAGUAACACGUGAGAAUUUGCCUUUAGGAGGGGGACAACAAUUGGAAACGAAUGCUAAUACCCCAUAUGCUUUCGAGUGAAAUGGAUUUUAUCCGCCUAGAGAGAAGCUCGCGGCUGAUUAGCUUGUUGGUAAGGUAAGAGCUUACCAAGGCGACGAUCAGUAUCUGGUUUGAGAGGACGAUCAGACACACUGGAACUGAGACACGGUCCAGACUCCUACGGGAGGCAGCAGUGGGGAAUUUUCCGCAAUGGGCGAAAGCCUGACGGAGCAAUACCGCGUGAGGGAAGAAUGCCUAUGGGUUGUAAACCUCUUUUUCAGGGAGGAAUAAAAUGACGUGUACCUGAAGAAUAAGCAUCGGCUAACUCCGUG